CACGGUUUCGGUUUGUUUGUGGCGGUUUCUGUCGGAGCUAAUAUCUCCGGCGGCCAUGUUAACCCUGCGGUUACGUUUGGCGCGACAAUUGGUGGUAACCUAACUCUGGUCCGGGCGGUUCUGUACAUUAUUGCGCAGUUGCUUGGGUCUACUGUUGCUUGCAUUCUUCUUGCUUUCUCAACUGGCGGCUUGGUGAGUUUUUAUGCUUUUGAAAAUUAGUAAUUACAGUUACUUCUUCCUUUAAGCGUAUGGACUAUCUCAUAGACUACGAUAUUAAAAAAUUAUAUUAUAUUUAAUGAAUUAUUAUCCACUAAUUAUUUUUCUGCCCUCCUAUUUAAAUAUAUUUAAAAUUAUAGUCUACCAAAUUAUAGUUCCUUGAUAUAGUCUUUUUGGCUCACCGGAAAAUCUCAUAGACUAUAUUUAGUCUUAUUGUUGGAGUGAAAUCUGAGUCCUAGACUAUAUUUAGUUUAGAAUUUGUGUUUUUUCGGCCUGCUGGAGAUGCUAUUAGAUUAUAAAACUGGUAUUUUCUCUUUGUUUUUUAAAAAAACUUUGAUGUGGGUAAUUAUAAGAGAGUUUUUAUAUGAGGGUGUAAAAGAAAAAGCACAAUUUGUAUUUUGUGUGCAGAAAAUCAGAUUUUUUUAAUUUUUAAUCUUUGUUUUUUGUCUGAAUAUAUAGAUCCAUCUAAAGUUAAAUGGAAAGAGUAAUAAUUAGUAUAUGGGGGACAUAUAUGUCAAAAGUGAAUGUGUUAAAAUAACAAAACUUUUGUUAAUAUAAACUAUUAGCUAGCUAGAUGCAUGCAAACAUACAUAAAUUCAUAAAAAGAAUUCUAUUUAUAAAAUCUGUAAAUGUUAAAAUCUAUUUUUGUUUCAUAUUUAGUAUACAAAUAAUUAAUUAUUAAUUUUGUAGGGCAUAUACAUGCAUAAGUAAUGGAUUAUUUCGUCAUAAAAUUAAAAAAAUUGGGUAGAAAAUUUAAUUAGCUAGUGAUAUUUUAACAUGACCGUCACAACUAUAUUAUAGUUAUGGCAAAACACUAUUGUACAUACAUAUGAUCAGUAUUAUAUUUUAUGAUUGCUCAAAAAUUAUUAUCUUUUUUUAAAAGUUGGAUUUUUAAUUUUCUAGUAAUUAAUGAAGUAUCAUUGUAAUUCUAGUUAAAUUAAUUUAAAAAUCGUUAUUUUUUUUAUAAUUUUUGUUUCAGCCUAAUUAAUUUUUGGUAUAGACGACAGCUUCUAAGUUAGUUGUGACCACCUGCUAAAUUAAAUAUGCAGACAACAACGGCAUUUGCUCUGUCCUCCGGAGUGUCGGUGUGGAGCGCCUUGGCAUUCGAGGUGGUGAUGACCUUCGGGCUGGUUUACACGGUGUACGCCACCGCCCUGGACCCAAAGAAGGGUGAAGUUGGAAUAAUUGCACCCAUUGCAAUUGGUUUAUUAGUAGGAGCCAAUAUUCUAGCCGGUGGUGCCUUCACCGGAGCAUCAAUG
rnacentral:lncRNA from 1 species